GAUGAACGCUGGCGGCGUGCCUAAUACAUGCAAGUCGAGCGAACAGACGAGGAGCUUGCUCCUCUGACGUUAGCGGCGGACGGGUGAGUAACACGUGGAUAACCUACCUAUAAGACUGGGAUAACUUCGGGAAACCGGAGCUAAUACCGGAUAAUAUAUUGAACCGCAUGGUUCAAUAGUGAAAGACGGUUUUGCUGUCACUUAUAGAUGGAUCCGCGCCGCAUUAGCUAGUUGGUAAGGUAACGGCUUACCAAGGCAACGAUGCGUAGCCGACCUGAGAGGGUGAUCGGCCACACUGGAACUGAGACACGGUCCAGACUCCUACGGGAGGCAGCAGUAGGGAAUCUUCCGCAAUGGGCGAAAGCUUGACGUAGCAACGCCGCGUGAGUGAUGAAGGUCUUCGGAUCGUAAAACUCUGUUAUUAGGGAAGAACAAAUGUGUAAGUAACUAUGCACGUCUUGACGGUACCUAAUCAGAAAGCCACGGCUAACUACGUG
rnacentral:rRNA from 1 species